rnacentral:lncRNA from 10 species
ACAUUUAUGGACACAUUACCAUGAACACAGUGGACGCUGUUGUUAAUUCCAUCUUAAAAAUGAGGAAAAUGAGGUUUUAAGAAGUUAGGCAACUCAUCUGAUGUUACACAUCUGAGAGGUAAGAAAGCUGUACUGAAACCAGGAUCACCUGACCCUGUGAUACAGCCUGUCACUCAUUCACUUCAUGUCUCUCAGAGAUCUCUUCACGUGCCAGUCUCACUGCUCGGAGGAGCACAGAAGUCUCAUUGGAGAAUAUCUGGGUAGUACCAGAUAGGGAACCUGUCCUCAGAAAGCCACCUUUCUCACCCAGAUACCCCUUCGGCUACUUGAUAGAUCACCUGUCACGCCCAUCACCUGUGCCUAUGGUCAGCGUCUCCCCACACUUGCAGCUGCUCUCAGUGACUAGGGCAAAGUCUGACUUUGAAAGCUCAUUUCAGGUGCUAUGCACGUGACAGUGUACCAGCAAUGUCUGGCUUGUUCCUUCUCCCAUUCCUUCAGGGGUGGUCAACCAAUUCUGAGAAGGAAGCCCUGCCCCCAUUCCUCCAUCCCCACAUCCCCGUCGUCCUCGGCUCCCAGCUCUGCCCUUCCAUUUCUGGCAUGCCGGUGGGUCGAGCAUUGUCUGCCUUCUGGGGAACACAAACCCUUUUGAGUUGUUGGGAAGUUUCUGAUGCGUGAGUUGUUGGGAAGUUUCUGAUGGGGUCAGCUCUGGUUCUCAUGGGCCAUUAAAGUUGGAUUGUUGAGGGCUAGAAAGGAAGACAAAAGUGCAUGUCCUGAGUGGAGGUAUGAAGGGUGAAUGGGGACCGGACCCUGAAUGGAUGCCCUGAGCAAGCGAGGGGUCUACCAGAUGGAAGCCCAGAGGUCCGAGCUGAUGUGGAG